rnacentral:rRNA from 1 species
UGGGGAAUAUUGGACAAUGGGCGCAAGCCUGAUCCAGCCAUACCGCGUGGGUGAAGAAGGCCUUCGGGUUGUAAAGCCCUUUUGUUGGGAAAGAAAUCCAUCUGGUUAAUACCCGGGUGGGAUGACGGUACCCAAAGAAUAAGCACCGGCUAACUUCGUGCCAGCAGCCGCGGUAAUACGAAGGGUGCAAGCGUUACUCGGAAUUACUGGGCGUAAAGCGUGCGUAGGUGGUCGUUUAAGUCCGUUGUGAAAGCCCUGGGCUCAACCUGGGAACUGCAGUGGAUACUGGGCGACUAGAAUGUGGUAGAGGGUAGCGGAAUUCCUGGUGUAGCAGUGAAAUGCGUAGAGAUCAGGAGGAACAUCCAUGGCGAAGGCAGCUACCUGGACCAACAUUGACACUGAGGCACGAAAGCGUGGGGAGCAAACAGGAUUAGAUACCCUGGUAGUCCACGCCCUAAACGAUGCGAACUGGAUGUUGGGUGCAAUUUGGCACGCAGUAUCGAAGCUAACGCGUUAAGUUCGCCGCCUGGGGAGUACGGUCGCAAGACUG